GAUGAACGCUGGCGGCGUGCUUAACACAUGCAAGUCGAACGAAGAUGCCGGAGUGCUUGCACUUUGGCAGACUGAGUGGCGGACGGGUGAGUAACGCGUGGGUAACCUGCCUUAUACAGGGGGGAUAACCAGUUGGAAACGACUGCUAAUACCGCAUAAGCGCACGGUAUCGCAUGAUACAGUGUGAAAAACUCCGGUGGUAUAAGAUGGACCCGCGUCUGAUUAGCUUGUUGGUGAGGUAACGGCCCACCAAGGCGACGAUCAGUAGCCGGCCUGAGAGGGUGAACGGCCACAUUGGGACUGAGACACGGCCCAAACUCCUACGGGAGCAGCAGUGGGAAUAUUGCACAAUGGGGGAAACCCUGAUGCAGCGACG
rnacentral:rRNA from 1 species